rnacentral:ncRNA from 1 species
CGGGGGUUGGAAUCACGAUGUUGUGGCCCCCGCUAGCGUUGAACUGGUGAUCACGGGGAUCUCCAUACACCAGUCGGUACAGCCGCGUCACUACUAAAGUAGGCCGCUAGGGGAUGCCCGCAUUGCUCCUAGCGCUCCGAAUUUUAUGCGUAGUGUCGCGCUGCACGCCGUGGAGGGGUGAGACUUGUUGGAAGUCUCAGAAGGUGCAGACGCCG